rnacentral:rRNA from 1 species
CGCCUUGCCAGCCCGCUCAGAAACUCAAAGGAAGUUGACGGGGCCCGGCACAAGCGGUGGAGUAUGUGGUUUAAUUCGAUGCAACGCGAAGAACCUUACCUGGUCUUGACAUCCCGGAGACCCUUAGGAAACUAGGGGGUGCUUCCAUCUGGAAGAAUCUGGAGACAGGUGCUGCAUGGCUGUCGUCAGCUCGUGUCGUGAGAUGUUGGGUUAAGUCCCGCAACGAGCGCAACCCUUGCCUUUAGUUGCCAGCAGUUCGGCUGGGCACUCUAAAGGGACUGCCGGUGUUAAACCGGAGGAAGGUGGGGAUGACGUCAAGUCCUCAUGGCCUUUAUGACCAGGGCUACACACGUACUACAAUGGCCGAUACAAAGGGCAGCGACACUGCGAGGUGAAGCCAAUCCCGUAAAAUCGGUCUCAGUCCGGAUUGGAGUCUGCAACUCGACUCCAUGAAGUUGGAAUCGCUAGUAAUCGUGGAUCAGCAUGCCACGGUGAAUACGUUCCCGGGCCUU